rnacentral:rRNA from 1 species
CCUGGCUCAGAACGAACGCUGGCGGCAGGCCUAACACAUGCAAGUCGAACAACUCUUCGGAGUGAGUGGCGCACGGGUGCGUAACACGUGGGAAUAUACCCUUCAGUGCGGAAUAACGUAGAGAAAUUUACGCUAAUACCGCAUAAUGACUCCGGUCCAAAGAUUUAUCGCUGAAGGAUUAGCCCGCGCCUGAUUAGGUAGUUGGUGAGGUAAGAGCUCACCAAGCCGACGAUCAGUAGCUGGUUUGAGAGGAUGACCAGCCACACUGGAACUGAGACACCGUCCAGACUCCUACGGGAGGCAGCAGUGAGGAAUAUUGCGCAAUGGGGGAAACCCUGACGCAGCCAUGCCGCGUGAGUGACGAAGGCCUUAGGGUUGUAAAGCUCUUUCAGAUGCGAAGAUAAUGACGGUAACAUCAGAAGAGCCUCCGGCUAAAUUCGUGCCAGCAGCCGCGGUAAUACGAAUGGAGCAAGCGUUGUUCGGAAUCACUGGGCGUAAAGCGUACGCAGGCGGAUUUGCAAGUCAGAAGUGAAAUCCCAGGGCUCAACCCUGGAACUGCAUUUGAACCUGGCAGUCUAGAGUACCGGAGAGGUUAGGAGAAUUCCGAGUGUAGAGGUGAAAUUCGCAGAUAUUCGGAGGAAUACCAGUGGCGAAGGCGCCUAACUGGACGGGAACUGACGCUCAUGUACGAAAGCGUGGGGAGCGAACAGGAUUAGAUACCCUGGUAGUCCACGCCGUAAACGAUGUAUGCUUGUUGUUGGAAUCCAUGGUUUCAGUGACGCAGCUAACGCGAUAAGCAUACCGCCUGGGGAGUACGAUCGCAAGAUUAAAACUCAAAGGAAUUGACGGGGACCCGCACAAGCGGUGGAGCAUGUUGUUUAAUUCGAAGCAACGCGAAGAACCUUACCUACACUUGACAUACUCGUCGGGAUUUCCAGAGAUGGAUUUCUUCGGUUCGGCCGGACGAGAUACAGGUGCUGCAUGGCUGUCGUCAGCUCGUGUUGUGAGAUGUUAGGUUAAGUCCUGCAACGAGCGUAACCCUUAUUCGUAUGUUGCCAUCAUUAAGUUGCGAACUCAUGCGAGACUGCCGGUGUUAAGCCGGAGGAAGGUGGGGACGACGUCAAGUCAUCAUGGCCCUUACGUGUAGGGCUACAAACGUGCUACAAUGGCUACUACAGUGGGCAGCAAACCGGCGACGGUGAGCGAAUCCCCAAAAGUAGUCUCACUUCGGAUUGUUCUCUGCAACUCGAGAACAUGAAGUCGGAAUCGCUAGUAAUCGUGGAUCAGCAUGCCACGGUGAAUACGUUCCAGGGUCUUGUACACACCGCCCGUCACAUCAUGGGAGUUGAUUCUGCCCGAAGGCCGUGUGCUAACUACGGAGGCAGCGGACCACGGUAGGAUCAGCGACUGGGGUGAAGUCGUAACA